GCGGAUGUAGCUCAGUGGUAGAGCGUCCGCUUCGCAUGCGGAAGGCCCGGGGUUCGAUCCCCCGCAUCCGCA
rnacentral:tRNA from 1 species